rnacentral:rRNA from 1 species
GACGUAGGGUGCAAGCGUUGUCCGGAUUUACUGGGCGUAAAGCGCGCGUAGGUGGCCCGGUAAGUCCGCUCUGAAAGUCACAGGCUCAACCUGUGAAAGCGGGUGGAUACUGCCGGGCUAGAGUCCGGAAGAGGCGAGUGGAAUUCCUGGUGUAGCGGUGGAAUGCGCAGAUAUCAGGAGGAACACCAACGGCGAAGGCAGCUCGCUGGGACGGUACUGACACUGAGGCGCGAAAGCGUGGGGAGCGAACAGG